AAACCGUGUUGUGGGCAUGAACUGACAAGAUCCUUGAAUCACUCCUAAUAUUGGAUGAAUGUUUCAUCUUCCUUUUGGACAAAGUUCAUGAUUGACUUUCUAAGGGU